AGUUUGGGGUUCAAUGAUCAGAAUUGUUUAUAAAACCUCAUAUGAUGCACACACAUAUCCCAUUUUUAACGAACUUGAGAUUCUUCCAUUUAACAACAUUUAUUUGUUUCAUUUAGGCUUGUUUAUGUAUCAGUUCCAUAAUUGUAUGUUACCGUCUAAUUUUGAUGAGUAUUUCACAUGUGUUAACCAAGUUCACAAUUAUAAUACGCGACAAUCGAAUUUGUAUUUCCUCCCAUUUUGUAGAACUAACCUGAGAAAAUUUGCUAUUAUUUACCAAGGUCCUAAAUUUUUUAACUCCCUCCCCAAAAAUAUAUAUGAUGCUUCAUCCGUCUCCGGUUUUCGGAAAAAACUUAAAGAAUAUUUAUUUAGACUUUAAUUUUGUAUUAUUUAAACACACAAUCAAUGUAACAUAGUUUCUAUCUAUGCUUUGUCAAAAACCUGAUCCCAAUUUUUUGGUCUAUUUUUCCUUUUCAUCCAAAUUUUGUUUGUUCGUUUACACAUUGUAUCUUGCUCGAUAUGUUUUUACAGCUAACACUAAAAUUUUGCUAUAUAUGUAUUACUGUAGUUUAAUCUAGGUGGCCCAAAUUACAUAAACCCUUAUGGUUUCUUUUGAGUUUCCUUGCCUUACAAAAUGUAAUUUUUUUUUCUCUUUGAUAUUGUGAACAUUUUUUUUUUAUUGGCUAAAAUAAAUUGAGUUGACUUGACUUACUCGGGAUUCAAUGAAGUGUGAAGUAUUUUGAGCAAUUGAAAUACGUUUUAGUAUUCCAAAGGUCGUAGGUUCGAUUCCCACCGUGGCCAGGCAUAUUUUUCAAGCUUGCCCGGUGUGGAUAUAUAUACACUCAGAGUAACAUCACAAACAUCAAAAGUUAGACAACUUUAAAUAUCGUUUAAACGAAAUUAGGAACGCGCUAGAAGUUAUGUAGUGAAGAAGACGAUUAAUAGCAUUGAACAACAUUUGUUGUUUGUCUAAAACAUGGAAUUUUAUACAAUUUGUACCAAGCAAUUUUGUUAGAUCAUGAAGUGCGACUUAUUUCAAUUGCUCAAAAUACUUCACACUUCAUUAAGGCCUUGUUUACACUAUACCGGAUCCGCUGGUCACGACAUCUUCUUUUGCCGUUACGGAGCAAUGGUUAGUAGCAAAUGCUUAUUAGUUUGACAGAAUUGGCAUGUUUAUUUGGGUCUCUGAGAUUAAAAAACUUCACAGCCUUUCGAUACCUACAAAAUUUGACCCACUCCGAUAGCAAUCCGGUAUAGUGUAAACGGGGCCUAAAUCCCGGGUAAGCGGGACCAUAUAAACAGCCCCUUAGUUCGUGAGUUAUGAAUGUUCUGAGUACAUGUGUCAGUAAUCCAAUUUUGGCAUGUUAUUAUUAUUUAGGUAAGGCCUGUUUCAAACGUCGCGCUUCUCAUGUGCCGAACGCAUUAGAAACGGUAAUAAUGAGGCAUUUUAGCUGAUUAUCUAUUGUUUUUAAAGGACAUUGGCAAUAAAAAAUUAGUUUAGUUCAUUUGAAAGAACUCUUAAAACUAUAUAUUAAACUCUAUUACAGAUUGUUUAUAUCUUGCUUAGUUUUCAAAAUAUCUCGACUGAAAAAAGUGAGCUGUUCGCCAUCUUGGAUUAUUGAGGAUACCAGGUGAUCUCGUGUUCGUAUUUUAGCCAAUCAGCACUCAGAAAGGGUUGUCCGAAUAGAAAUCCAUUUUGAUGUAAUCAGUCAAUUAUAUCUUUCGUUAUUGUUUACGAAACUAGUUGAAAUUUUGUAAUUAUGUUUGCUUAUGAGAACUAUAGCUCUGACAAAAAUAUGGAAUCGAAAUAAAGUAUAUUACAGGAGAUAUUCAGUUGUUUUAAUCAUAAAAUGGAUUUCUAUUUGACAACUAGUGCCAGUACUUUUCCGCGUAUCAAGAUCACCUGGAUUAUUAGACCUAACCAGGAACAGCUGCGAAAAAUGCAACUUUAUGUCCCUGGUAGGAAUCGAACCUGCGGCCCUGCGAUUCCGGUGCAGCGCUCCAACCAACUGAGCUACAGAGGCCAGUUGUCGAGCUCUAACCACAAGUUCAUGUAUAUACAGGGUGUCUCAAAAAAACCCAAAAUCAUUGAAAUUGACGUAUUGUUCGAUAUUCAAUGCCCUAGCACUAAGUUAAUCCCACGAGUGCAUAAAAGAUUGACAUAACUGCUAUAAUGAAUGGUAAUACUCAGCGUAAACUUGUUAUGUCAGGCAUAAAGUACUAAACCCACGAAUGCAUAUUACGCAUAUUACAAUUUACGAAGCAUUUUUAAAUUCCCAUGAGCAAACAAACGUUCACUUUACAAAGAUAUUUUAUUUUUUUAAAACAAAUUAAUCACCCUGUCAAAAUCCUUUGUGUUACGGCAUUGAAAUUCGAACAAUACGUUAUUUCAAUGAUUUGGGGUUUUUUUGAGACACCCUGUACAGGGUGUAUAAAAAAAAGCGCAACCUCGGAAUUUCCCAAGAAAUCGACAUUGUUAUAAAGACAAAAGACUUUAGGCGCCUGGGAAUUUAAAAUAGCAUAACUGUCAAACUUAC